UCGAACGGUAUGUGGCAACACAUAGAGUGGCGAACGGGUGAGUAACACGUGGGAACGUACCCUACGCAGGGGGAUAACUGACCGAAAGGACAGCUAAUACCGCAUAAGACCGAAAGGUGAAAGGUGCAACUGCACCGGCGAAGGAGCGGCCCGCGGACCAUCAGCUAGUUGGUGGGGUAAGAGCCUACCAAGGCAACGACGGAUAGCCGGCGUGAGAGCGUGGCCGGCCACAAGGACACUGAGAUACGGGUCCUACUCCUACGGGAGGCAGCAGUGCGGAAUUUUAGAUAAUGGAGGCAACUCUGAUCUAGCGACGCCGCGUGCAGGAAGAAGGUCUUCGGAUUGUAAACUGCUGUGGUAAGGGAAAAAUGCCAUGUAGAGUGGAAAGCUACAUGGAGGGAUGGUACUUUACUAGAAAGCCCCGGCUAACUACGUGCCAG
rnacentral:rRNA from 1 species